rnacentral:tRNA from 1 species
GGUUAGGUGGCUGAGGUUUAUUAAGCGGUAAAUUGUAAAUUUAUAGACGGGAGUAUUCCCUCUAAUCA